rnacentral:rRNA from 1 species
GAAUCUGGCUUCAGGUUCGGGACAACAGUUGGAGACGGCUGCUAAUACCGGAUGUGCCUAAGGGUGAAAGAUUUAUCACCUGAAGAUGAGCUCGCGUCUGAUUAGCUAGUAGGUGUGGUAAGAGCGCACCUAGGCGACGAUCAGUAGCUGGUCUGAGAGGAUGAUCAGCCACACUGGGACUGAGACACGGCCCAGACUCCUACGGGAGGCAGCAGUGGGGAAUUUUCCGCAAUGGGCGAAAGCCUGACGGAGCAAUACCGCGUGAGGGAGGAAGGUCUGUGGAUUGUAAACCUCUUUUGAUAGGGAAGAAGUUCUGACGGUACCUAUCGAAUCAGCAUCGGCUAACUCCGUGCCAGCAGCCGCGGUAAUACGGAGGAUGCAAGCGUUAUCCGGAUUUAUUGGGCGUAAAGCGUCCGUAGGUGGUUAAUCAAGUCUAUUGUCAAAGCCUGGGGCUUAACCCUGGAGAGGCGGUGGAAACUGGUUAACUUGAGUGCGGUAGGGGCAGAGGGAAUUCCCAGUGUAGCGGUGAAAUGCGUAGAUAUUGGGAAGAACACCGGUGGCGAAAGCGCUCUGCUGGGCCUGCACUGACACUGAGGGACGAAAGCUAGGGGAGCG